rnacentral:lncRNA from 1 species
GCUCCUGGCACAAGGACCCUGCGUCUUCUGUCCCCUCCCUCACUCAGACCCUCCCACAGGGUGCCCUCGCCAUCCCAUUGACCUUCAGGCUGUGAGGGUGGCCUUUGGGUUCCCCGCCUUGGCCCCUGGCCACCUGCACGUCCUGCCCCUCCUCCCACUCCCAGGCGCCUCUGGGCCUCCGCUCAGGCCGUCAAACCCAGCUCCACCAGGCCCCGGCCGUGUGCCCUUGGACAAGUGCCGUCUCCAGAGCCUCAGCCCCCUGUUUGCAAGAGCUUGUGAGCUAAAGCGUGCCAGGCCCUGAGUGCGAGGCUGGGAUGAACUGGCAUUCCUGCUGGCUCUGGCCUCUGGGACAGCACCUCCUCCAGCUCACUGCCCUCCACCCUUCCAGCUACAGCUCCCUCCGGUGCCCCAGAACCGCCCGGCACUCCGGGGCUCCCAGGUUCAUCUGGGCAUGACUCCGCCCUCCCGACAGAGCCCUCUGCACACCCCCUCCCCACCCUGGCCCAUCGCAGCUCUUCACGAAGACGCUUCAUGGAAUGGGUGAUUUUCCUAAGCACUUUUCUUUCCAUGAUCUCAUUUGGUCCUCACAGCACCUGGAGGAGGGCAGACAGGCUGUUGCUCCAUUUUACAGAUUUUCCAGACCAGGCUUUCUGAGAGGCUGUUAAUGAGCCAAACCAUUCUGCUAACCGUCGUUUUCAGAAGGGCCACCCGGCUCACGGUUCUCUUUAUUCAGGCAAAGCCAUCAAGACCCCGGGUCUUCCUCUGUGGCCCAGGCUGGAGUGCAGUAGCGCAAUCUCGGCUCACUGCAACCUCCACUUCCCGGGUUCAAGCGAUUCUCCUGCCUCAGCCUCCUGAGUAGCUGGGAUUACAAGCUCCUGCCACCAUGCCCAGCUAAUUUUUGUAUUUUUAGUAGACAUGGGGUUUCACCAUGUUGGCCAGGCUGGUCUCAAACUCCUGACCUCAAGUGAUUCACCCU